UACGUAGGGUGCAAGCGUUGUCCGGAAUUAUUGGGCGUAAAGAGCUCGUAGGCGGUCUGUCGCGUCUGCUGUGAAGACUCAGGGCUUAACCCUGAGCUUGCAGUGGGUACGGGCAGACUAGAGUGCGGUAGGGGAGACUGGAAUUCCUGGUGUAGCGGUGAAAUGCGCAGAUAUCAGGAGGAACACCGGUGGCGAAGGCGGGUCUCUGGGCCGUAACUGACGCUGAGGAGCGAAAGCAUGGGGAGCGAACAGG
rnacentral:rRNA from 1 species